AAUCAACCGAGAUUCCCCCAGUAGCGGCGAGCGAACGGGGAGCAGCCCAGAGCCUGAAUCAGUGUGUGUGUUAGUGGAAGCGUCUGGAAAGGCGCGCGAUACAGGGUGACAGCCCCGUACACAAAAAUGCACAUGCUGUGAGCUCGAUGAGUAGGGCGGGACACGUGGUAUCCUGUCUGAAUAUGGGGGGACCAUCCUCCAAGGCUAAAUACUCCUGACUGACCGAUAGUGAACCAGUACCGUGAGGGAAAGGCGAAAAGAACCCCGGCGAGGGGAGUGAAAAAGAACCUGAAACCGUGUACGUACAAGCAGUGGGAGCACGCUUAGGCGUGUGACUGCGUACCUUUUGUAUAAUGGGUCAGCGACUUAUAUUCUGUAGCAAGGUUAACCGAAUAGGGGAGCCGAAGGGAAACCGAGUCUU
rnacentral:rRNA from 1 species